AGCAGUGUGGCUCAGUGGAAGGAGCAGGGGCUUGGGAGUCAGAGGUCAUGGGUUCGAAUCCCGUCUCUGCCA
rnacentral:tRNA from 1 species